GGUACUGAAUUUCAAGAAAAAUCUUCGCACCUUUAGCUAAAGAAAAGACGUCAGCUCCAGGGAAACGAUGUCGCCAGUCAACAAUCCAUUUCUCUUAAUCCUGGCCGUCACACUCACCAUGAUGUAAGAAACAGCUCCUCGAGUUCACCAUAUGGUGGAAACUAUGGCCGGUGCAGGAGACUUGGAAGACCUUGCAGGGGACCACGAGAUUGGAUUACUUGCGGUCCAACCUGCAUUUGUGAACAAAUACUCCAACCGUACUAUGGUUACUACGAAAACUCAUAUCGCUGGUCUCGCUGGAGUUGCGGGAACCCGCCUGCUUGGGAAUCGGCUUACAGAAUGUAAGCGAAACAUUGGGGCCG